rnacentral:rRNA from 1 species
UUUGAAAUCUCCGACGCUUGCGUCGGCGAAUUGUAGUUGCGAGAAGCACUUUCUAGGCGGAUCGGUCGUGCCUAAGUUGCUUGGAACAGUACGUCAUAGAGGGUGACAACCCCGUCUGUGGCUCGGCCGGCCGCUCACGAUGUGCUUUCGAAGAGUCGGGUUGUUUGGGAAUGCAGCCCAAAAAUGGUGGUAAACUCCAUCUAAAGCUAAAUACUGACGUGAGACCGAUAGCGAACAAGUACCGUGAGGGAAAGAUGAAAAGAACUUUGAAAAGAGAGUUAAAAAGUACGUGAAACCGUUUGAAGGGAAACGAAUGGACUCAGCAAUGCGCCCUUUGAGAUUCAGCCGGGCGGUUGUGGCGGUCCGGGGCUUGCGGAUCUGAAUGGACCGCGGUCUCGGGCUCGUCGCUUCCGACCGUCGCACUUCUCUUGGACGCGAGUCAACGUCGGUUGGGACUGGGCCUCAAAGGUUCCGGGAAGGUAGGUCCGGACGCUCGCGUUCGGACUGUUACAGCCCGGUUCUCUCGCGGCUCGGGUCCGACCGAGGCGGAUGCAGCACAUGCCUCUUGUGGCUAGGGUCCCGUCCUUCCGGCCGGUUGUCGAAUGCGGUGGACUGCUUGCAGUGCUCUGCGACUGCUGCCGGUCGUUGGGGUGGUGAUCUCGUACCAUG